GUUAGAUAAGCGAGAUGUAGCUUAUAAAAGUUUAUUACUUACGUUAAUAAGAAAAUCAAAUUUGUUGAUUCAUUUUGA
rnacentral:tRNA from 1 species